rnacentral:rRNA from 1 species
UGGGGAAUAUUGCACAAUGGGCGAAAGCCUGAUGCAGCAACGCCGCGUGAGUGAUGAAGGUCUUCGGAUUGUAAAGCUCUGUCUUUUGGGACGAUAAUGACGGUACCAAAGGAGGAAGCCACGGCUAACUACGUGCCAGCAGCCGCGGUAAUACGUAGGUGGCGAGCGUUGUCCGGAUUUACUGGGCGUAAAGGGUGCGUAGGCGGAUGUUUAAGUGAGAUGUGAAAUACCCGGGCUUAACUUGGGUGCUGCAUUUCAAACUGGAUAUCUAGAAUGCAGGAGAGGAGAAUGGAAUUCCUAGUGUAGCGGUGAAAUGCGUAGAGAUUAGGAAGAACACCAGUGGCGAAGGCGAUUCUCUGGACUGUAACUGACGCUGAGGCACGAAAGCGUGGGUAGCAAACAGGAUUAGAUACCCUGGUAGUCCACGCCGUAAACGAUGAGUACUAGGUGUAGGAGGUAUCGACCCCUUCUGUGCCGCAGUAAACACAUUAAGUACUCCGCCUGGGAAGUACGAUCGCAA